UGGCGAACGGGUGAGUAAUAUAUCGGAACGUACCCAAGAGUGGGGGAUAACGUAGCGAAAGUUACGCUAAUACCGCAUACGAUCUAAGGAUGAAAGCAGGGGAUCUUCGGACCUUGUGCUCCUGGAGCGGCCGAUAUCUGAUUAGCUAGUUGGUGAGGUAAAGGCUCACCAAGGCCACGAUCAGUAGCUGGUCUGAGAGGACGACCAGCCACACUGGAACUGAGACACGGUCCAGACUCCUACGGGAGGCAGCAGUGGGGAAUUUUGGACAAUGGGCGAAAGCCUGAUCCAGCAAUGCCGCGUGAGUGAAGAAGGCCUUCGGGUUGUAAAGCUCUUUUGUCAGGGAAGAAACGGUUUGGGCUAAUAUCCUGAGCUAAUGACGGUACCUGAAGAAUAAGCACCGGCUAACUACGUGCCAGCAGCCGCGGUAAUACGUAGGGUGCAAGCGUUAAUCGGAAUUACUGGGCGUAAAGCGUGCGCAGGCGGUUUUGUAAGUCUGACGUGAAAUCCCCGGGCUCAACCUGGGAAUUGCGUUGGAGACUGCAAGGCUAGAAUCUGGCAGAGGGGGGUAGAAUUCCACGUGUAGCAGUGAAAUGCGUAGAGAUGUGGAGGAACACCGAUGGCGAAGGCAGCCCCCUGGGUCAAGAUUGACGCUCAUGCACGAAAGCGUGGGGAGCAAACAGGAUUAGAUACCCUGGUAGUCCACGCCCUAAACGAUGUCUACUAGUUGUCGGGUUUUAAUUAACUUGGUAACGCAGCUAACGCGUGAAGUAGACCGCCUGGGGAGUACGGUCGCAAGAUUAAAACUCAAAGGAAUUGACGGGGACCCGCACAAGCGGUGGAUGAUGUGGAUUAAUUCGAUGCAACGCGAAAAACCUUACCUACCCUUGACG
rnacentral:sRNA from 1 species